ACGUCGCAUGCUCCGGCCGCCAUGGCGGCGCGGGAAUUCGAUUAGAGUUUGAUCAUGGCUCAGAUUGACGCUGGCGGCAGGCCUAACACAUGCAAGUCGAGCGGCAACGGGGGAAGCUUGCUUCCCUGCCGGCGAGCGGCGGACGGGUGAGUAAUGUCUGGGGAUCUGCCCGAUGGAGGGGGAUAACCACUGGAAACGGUGGCUAAUACCGCAUAACCUCUUUGGAGUAAAGUGGGGGACCUUCGGGCCUCACGCCAUCGGAUGAACCCAGAUGGGAUUAGCUAGUAGGUGGGGUAAUGGCUCACCUAGGCGACGAUCCCUAGCUGGUCUGAGAGGAUGACCAGCCACACUGGGACUGAGACACGGCCCAGACUCCUACGGGAGGCAGCAGUGGGGAAUAUUGCACAAUGGGCGCAAGCCUGAUGCAGCCAUGCCGCGUGUAUGAAGAAGGCCUUCGGGUUGUAAAGUACUUUCAGCGGGGAGGAAGGCAACAGCGUAAAUAGCGCUGUUGAUUGACGUUACCCGCAGAAGAAGCACCGGCUAACUCCGUGCCAGCAGCCGCGGUAAUACGAAUCACUAGUGAAUUCGCGGCCGCCUGCAGGUCGACCAUAUGGGAGAGCUCCCAACGCGU
rnacentral:rRNA from 1 species